rnacentral:rRNA from 1 species
CUACGGGGGGCAGCAGUUAGGGAAAUUUUACAAUGCACGAAAGUGUGAUAGAGUGAGCCAGAGUGUUUAUCAUUUUAUGAUAAACUUUUUUCUAAUGUAAAAAAUUAGACGAAUAAGGACUGGGCAAGACCGGUGCCAGCCGCCGCGGUAAUACCGCGGUCCAAGUCGCAGCCAUGAUUAUUGGGUCUAAAACAUCCGUAGCUUGUUUAAUAAGUUUCUUGUGAAAUCUCACGUCUUAAGCGUGAGCGUGCAAGAAAUACUGUUAGACUAGAGACUGGAAGAAGUGAAAAGUACAGUUGAGGUAGUGGUAAAAUACGUUAAUCUUGAUUGGACUAACAAUAGCGAAGGCAUUUCACUAGUACAGAUCUGACAGUGAGGGAUGAAGGCUAGGGUCGCAAAACGGAUUAGAUACCCCAGUAGUC